UAGGCAGAAGCCUGCUGGUUAGGGCAUAUAGCUGUUAACUAUACUGUUGUGGGAUCGAGGCCCAUCUGCCUAGG
rnacentral:tRNA from 1 species